rnacentral:rRNA from 1 species
UACGGGGGGGGCAAGCGUUGUUCGGAAUUACUGGGCGUAAAGGGCGCGUAGGCGGUUGGAUAAGUCAGCUGUGAAAACCACGGGCUUAACUCGUGGCCUGCAGUUGAGGCUGUCUGGCUUGAGUGUGGGAGAGGAGAGUGGAAUUCCUGGUGUAGCGGUGAAAUGCGUAGAUAUCAGGAGGAACACCGGUGGCGAAGGCGGCUCUCUGGACCACAACUGACGCUGAGGCGCGAAAGCUAGGGGAGCAAACAGG